rnacentral:misc_RNA from 1 species
AACCAUAGAAACCUGCGGAGUACCUGCGGAAGGAUCAUUACAGAGUUUACAACUCCCAAACCCACUGUGAACCUUACAGCGUCGUUGCCUCGGCGGACCGCCCCCGGCGCGGCCCCUCUCAGGGGGCGCCCGGGACCACGGCGCCCGCCGGAGGACCCAAACUCUCGUAUUUGCAGGAUGCAUUGCUCUGAGUGAAGACAAGCGAAUGAAUCAAAACUUUUAACAAUGGAUCUCAGAUCG